UACGUAGGGUGCGAGCGUUAAUCGGAAUUACUGGGCGUAAAGCGCACGUAGGCGGCGAAGCAAGUUGGGUGUGAAAGCCCUGGGCUCAACCCAGGAAGUGCAUUCAAAACUGCUUCGCUUGAAUCUCGGAGGGGGUCAGAGAAUUCCCGGUGUAGAGGUGAAAUUCGUAGAUAUCGGGAGGAAUACCAGUGGCGAAGGCGCUGACCUGGACGAAGAUUGACGCUGAGGUGCGAAAGCGCGGGGAGCAAACAGG
rnacentral:rRNA from 1 species